rnacentral:rRNA from 1 species
GGGAGUGAAAUAGAACCUGAAACCCUGCACUUACAAGCUGUGGAAGCACAUUUCUUGUGUGACCGCGUACUUUUUGUAGAACGGGCCAACGAGUUACGUUAAGUAGCAAGGUUAAGCACUUAAGGUGCGGAGCCGUAGCGAAAGCGAGUUUUAACUGAGCGUUCAGUUACUUGACGUAGACCCGAAACCGGGCGACCUACCCAUGGGCAGGAUGAAGCGAAAGUAAAAUUUCGUGGAGGUCCGAACCCACGAGCGUUGAAAAGCUCGGGGAUGACUUGUGGGUAGCGGUGAAAUUCCAAUCGAGCCCGGAGAUAGCUGGUUCUCCCCGAAAUAGCUUUAGGGCUAGCCUCAAGGUGAGAGAUACGGA